UACCAGCUUCUCGAGUGGUGGGGGCGAUUAUUGGGCCUAAAGCGUCCGUAGCCCGCUUGUUAAGUCCUUCGUCAAAUCCGACGAUUUAAUCGUUGGUUCGCGGAGGAUACUGGCAAGCUAGGGGGCGGAAGAGGCUGGCGGUAUUCUUAGGGUAGGGGUGAAAUCCUAUAAUCCUAGGAGGACCACCAGUGGCGAAGGCGGCCAGCUAGAACGCGCCCGACGGUGAGGGACGAAAGCUGGGGGAG
rnacentral:rRNA from 1 species